ensembl:snRNA U6 U6 spliceosomal RNA
GUGCUUGCUUCGGCAGCACAUAUGCUAAAAUUGGAAUGAUACAGAGAUUAACAUGGUCCCUGUGUGAGAAUGACACACAAAUUCAUGAAGUGUUACACAUAAGA